GGGGGGACCACCCUCCAACCCUAAAUACUACCCAGUGACCGAUAGCGUAUAGUACUGUGAAGGAAAGGUGAAAAGCACCCCGGGAGGGGAGUGAAAAAGAACCUGAAACCCUGUGCCUACAAGCACCUAGAGCACGUCAAUGUGUGAUAGGGUACUUUUUGUAGAACGGUCCGGCGAGCGAUUGUAUGCAGCAAGGUUAAGGACUUAAGGUCUGGAGCCGAAGCGAAAGCGAGUUUGAAAAGGGCGUUAAGUUGCAUACAAUGGGCCCGAAACCGGGUGACCUACCCAUGGUCAGGUUGAAGUGGAAGUAAAAUUCCAUGGAGGACCGAACCGACCUCCGUUGAAAAGGCGGCGGAUGAACUGUGGGUAGCGGAGAAAUUCCAAUCGAACCCGGAGAUAGCUGGUUCUCCCCGAAAUAGUUUUAGGACUAGCCUCAAGUUAGAUACCUGGAGGUAAAGCACUGAAUAGCCUAGCGGCCGAGAGGUUAGCGAAGCUUAUCAAACUCAGAAUGCCAGAGUAUUGAUGCUUGGGAGUCAGACAGUGUCAGAUAAAUGUCAUUGUCAAAAGGGAAACAGCCCAGAUCUACAGCUAAGGUCCCAAAGUCAGGUUAAGUGGAAAACGAUGUGAAGAUACGUAGACAACCAGGAUGUUGGCUCAGAAGCAGCCACACAUUCAAAGAGUGCGUAAUAGCUCACUGGUCGAGCGUCUUUGCGCGGAGAAUUUAACGGGGCUAAACCUGACACCGAAGCUUAGGCAAUACAGCAAUGUAUUGGGUAGGGGAGCGUUGUAUACGCGGUGAAACAGUAGCGCAAGCGGCUGUGGAGUGUAUAGAAGUGAGAAUGCCGGAAUGAGUAGCGCGAAUGCAGUGAGAAUCUGCAUGGCCGAAAGCCUCAGGUUUCUGGAGGAAGGUUCGUCCGCUCCAGGUUAGUCGGGAGCUAAGGUGAGGCCUAACGGCGUAGCCGAUGCACAGACGGUAGAGAUUCCGUCACCACCAAAAGAGUUAA
rnacentral:rRNA from 1 species